rnacentral:rRNA from 1 species
CCUACUGAUUGAACAUGCUUGCGCACACUUGACGAUGGUUUACCAACGUGGUGUGGGACGGGUGUGAAUCACGUAUGUAUCCUGCGCCCAAACGGAGGAUAUCAUUUGUGAACAGAUGCGAUUACCGCAUAUCACUUAGAAUCGCAUGAGUCUUACUUAAAAGAUGGGUUCCUGUAUCACUUUGGGAUGGACCUGCGGGGCAUUAACUUGUUGGGAGGGGAACGGGCUACCAAGGGUGUGAUGCGUAACCGAAUUGAAAAACUGAUCGGGCACAAUGGAACUGAAAAACGGUCCAUAAUCCUACGGGAGGGAGCAGUAAGGAAUCUUCCACAAUGGGAGCAAGCCUGAUGGAGCAACACCGCGUGAGUGAAGAAGGGUUUCGGGUCGUAAAGGUCUGUUGUUAGAGAAGAACGUGGGUGAGAGUAACUGUUCACGCAGUGACGGUAUCUAACCAGAAAGUCACGGUUAACUACGUGCCAGCAGCCGCGGUAAUACGUAGGUGGAAAGUGUUAUCCGGAUUUAUUGGGUGUAAAGUGAGAGUAGGGGGUUUGAUAAGUUUGAUGUGAAAGUCUUUGGAUUAAACAAAGAAGUGUAUUGGAAAAUGUGAGAAUUGAGUGGAGAAGAGGAAAGUGGAAAUUUAUGGUUAGG